CCUAUGGGAGGCACCAGUGGGGAAUCUUGCACAAUGGGGGAAACCCUGAUGCAGCGACGCCGCGUGAGUGAUGAAGCCCCUCGGGGUGUAAAGCUCUUUCGACGGGAAAGAUAAUGACGGUACCCGAAGAAGAAGCUGCGGCUAACUACGUGCCAGCAGCCGCGGUAAUACGUAGGCAGCAAGCGUUGUUCGGAAUUACUGGGCGUAAAGAGUGUGUAGGCGGUGCUCUAAGUCUGUCGUGAAAUCUCCCGGCUUAACUGGGAGGGUGCGGCGGAAACUAGAAUGCUAGAGGGUGGGAGAGGUAAGCGGAAUUCCUGGUGUAGCGGUGAAAUGCGUAGAUAUCAGGAGGAACACCUGUGGUGUAGACAGCUUACUGGACCACUUCUGACGCUGAGACACGAAAGCGUGGGUAGCAAACAGGAUUAGAUACCCGUGUAGUCC
rnacentral:rRNA from 1 species